rnacentral:lncRNA from 1 species
CCCUGGCACUGUCUCACCAGGAGCUGUUUAUCUGGCACACGAGGUAUGGGAGAGACACCGGAAUGGUCAGCUGCUGGCUUGGUCCAGGACAAAGAAGAUAGAUAAAAGUCCAAUCCACCUGGAGUCUUUGGGUCAACCUGGAGGAAGACAUGGUGG